rnacentral:rRNA from 1 species
UACGUAUGGUGCAAGCGUUAUCCGGAUUUACUGGGUGUAAAGGGAGCGUAGACGGAGUGGCAAGUCUGAUGUGAAAACCCGGGGCUCAACCCCGGGACUGCAUUGGAAACUGUCAAUCUAGAGUACCGGAGAGGUAAGCGGAAUUCCUAGUGUAGCGGUGAAAUGCGUAGAUAUUAGGAGGAACACCAGUGGCGAAGGCGGCUUACUGGACGGUAACUGACGUUGAGACUCGAAAGCGUGGGGAGCAAACAGG